rnacentral:sRNA from 2 species
UUGGCCAUUCGGCCUUUUGUGACUUGAAGCGGAGGAACCAAAUUAUUGGGGCUAAUCUCGCUGGAUUGGCGAGAGAGACACCUUCCAGUCUCAGCCCGUCAGCUAACUCCGUCGGCAUUGGGAGGAGAACUC